UUCAAACCCGAAAAAAAUAGCGUCCGCUCAUCUCCAUAUCCGUAUUCCACUGUUCAUUUUUGUUCCUUUGCUUCGAACCUCUCUCUCAGCCAUGGCAGCAGCUGCUUCCUACACCUCAUCCCUACCUAACAAAACCGUUGCCUGCGCUAGCUUCAACCCUUCUUCUUUCCCUUCUUCAUCUCUCCACUUUCCUUAUCCCCUUUCAUCCUUCCUCACCUCCUCUCUCUCUACCUCUCACGCCCUGGACUGCCCUGCUUCGGUGCUCCGCUCUGCCACCAACAGAAGGGUUCCUAGAAUCCUAGCAGUUGUUGAAGAAGAGCCGAUAGCGGCUACUGAGCCCGAAGAAGAAGCGUCGGAAGAGGACGGCAAUGGCGGCUUAUCCGGAGGCCCGGAGCUUCAACUUCAGACGUCCAAGCUCUACGUUUGCAAUCUUCCCAGGAGCUGUGACAUUGCCGAGCUUUUGGAGGUUUUCAAGCCGUACGGAACGGUGCAGUCUGUAGAGGUUUCACGGAAUACUGAGACGGGCUUAAGUCGAGGAUCCGGUUAUGUUACGAUGAGUUCUAUUCCUGAAGCUAAAGCAGCAAUUGCUGCUUUGGAUGGAUCUGAUUUAGGUGGGCGUGAAAUGCACGUUAGAUUUUCAGUUGAUUUAUUUUCUAGAAAAAAAGAUACCGGUGCUCUGAAUUCUGCCAUGAAGAACAUAGUUUUUGAAAGCCCGUAUAAAGCGUAUGUUGGCAAUCUUGCAUGGUCUGUGAGACCUGAAGAUUUGAGAGAACAUUUUAGCCAAUUUGGAAAUGUGGUCAGCACCAGGGUUCUGUACGAUCGUAAAGCAGGGAAAAGCCGUGUCUAUGGAUUUAUUUCCUUCUCUUCAGCUGCAGAACUUGAGGCUGCGAAAUCUUCAAGUGGAAAGGAGUUCCGUGGGCGUACAUUAUUGGUGAGGGAAAUUUUUAAAAAGGAGUGAGCCAUGAUGGUAGCAGUCAAAAAGUUUUGUGACUAUUUCUUGCCAUCAGAGCCAAAUUCCCUCAUAAAUCUAGAAAAGACAAGAGUAGCUUAGGCCCACCAUACUGCAUGGUCCUGCUGAUUCCUGAACUCGCCAUGCUUGUGUCUCAUAUCGGAUUACUAUCAUGGGUAUGGACACAGAGACAGGCUGUACAACAUGGCAAUUGCAACAAAAUCCAGUCAUGUAUACAUGCAUACAUACACAUGUACUUACAACCCGACACGGUAUAUUGAUCCAACCAGCUUGGCGAUACCGAUAACACCAGUAGUAUUAGAAAUUCCAAGCAUCAACAAUGUAUUACUUAGUACCACCAACGAAUCGAUAUCGCCAAUAUUUUUCAAUCGUGUAAAUUCCAGGCAUCGCUUGUAUUGUGGAUGUAUCAAUAUCGCCAAUGUAUUGCCAAAAAUUUUUACUAUGUAAAUUCUAGGUGACGCUUGUAUCACAAGUGCAUCGGUGAUAUUUCAAUAAUAUCGCCAAUGUAGAGAUAUCAUAGAAAGUUUAUUUAUUAAAAAAAAUCUAUUUCAAUUUUUUUAUGAGCGCAUUUUUGUAUGCAGUUUUCAAUCUGUCGUUGCUAAUAUUCAUAAUAUCUCAAUAUUAUCAUUAUCGCAACAUGUGUGAUAUCAAGACCACAAUCUUUUGAUUCCAUUCAUGUUGUUGAUGAUUUCUUUGCAAAAUAUCAUGAGUUGUCAAUAUUCUGCUUUUAAGCCCCUAUUAAAUAUCAUGAGUUGGAUGGAUUGGGUGGUUAAAUUGGAUGGAUGGGAUGGUUAGACUGUUUCUUACGAUGACACAUGCUUUUAAGCCCCCAUUAAGUGAAAACUUAUUGUGUAUACAUUCUUUUUGCAAAUUUGUUAUUCCUAAAUAUGUAAACAUGUGUAUUUUAGCAUCUCCUGAAGUUUCAUUGAAAAUUCUACCGUUUUUCCCA